ACCGCACGUGCGCGCGGCAGCGCCGGGCUGAGCUCGGACGCGGCUCCGCGGGAGCGGUCCUCCCUGAGGCACUCCGGGGGGGCAGGGGGCGGGCAGGCGGAGCGCUGCGUGGUGUGAGAGCGGAGCGGGGACCGAGCCCCGGCGGGGACGUGCGGACGGAGGGCCUCCGCAGCGCGUUCUGUGCCCUGCUCGUGGGGCAACGUUGUGUUACCGUUGGUGGCUUGGGGCAAUUCGAGGGGCCGCGCUGGGGGCGUUGUUUAUUUCUCAGCUCGGUGGGAGACCGCGUCUAAAGCGCUUUAGAACCCACGUGCACAGCGCGCGUCCGGGAGGCGGAGCUGGAAGUCAGAGCCCAUCCCGCCGCUGGGAUUGCACAUCCCAGUUCGCAUCUCUAGUUGCAGUUUUGGAUACAGACGCGGCUGGAAACAUCCCGGUGGCUGGAAAGAGCCUCCCGGGCAAUGCACGUGGGUUUGAAAGUCUAAAAACCAGCACUGCAUUCAGCCGCGGUCCUCACCUAAAGAGAACUGACCCAGCAACAAACCCAGACCCAGAACGGGCCUCUGCUCUGCUCUAGCCCCUCUGUUUGGUGCAUACAUUUGCACCAGGAAUUCCCCCACCUCCCACAGCUUUCUGCCAUGAAAUAGUUCAUGGAGCUCUGUGAAGAAAACAGAACAUGCAUUCAGUGUUACUGACAUACAUUCCCAUUUCCAACAUUACUUGACCUAUUUCCAUAGCUUCAGAGAUUUGGCAGUCGCUGGUUGACCGGUCCACGUAUCUUCAAAUGAAACCAUGUUAAGGUCCACGUUCCCCUUGAUGUCAGAGGAAUACACAUGCACGAGGAGAGGAAGAGCAGCCCAAACUUAGCCAGCAGAAAGAAGGCAUCCGCAAGAGUGAGGCUGAUUUGCUGUCUGACAAAAACAUGUUAUUACAAUGCAAAAAAAAAAAAAAAAAAAAAAAAAAAAAAAAAAAAA